rnacentral:rRNA from 1 species
UACGUAGGGAGCAAGCGUUGUUCGGAUUUACUGGGCGUAAAGGGCGCGUAGGCGGCCAAUUAAGUCAGCUGUGAAAUCUCCGAGCUUAACUCGGAACGGUCAGCUGAUACUGAUCUGCUAGAGUGCGGGAGGGGCAAUCGGAAUUCUUGGUGUAGCGGUGAAAUGCGUAGAUAUCAAGAGGAACACCUGAGGUGAAGACGGGUUGCUGGGCCGACACUGACGCUGAGUGCGCGAAAGCCAGGGGAGCAAACGGG